CACGUAGGCACCAAGCGUUGUCCGGAUUUAUUGGGCGUAAAGAGCUCGUAGGCGGUUCGGUAAGUCGGGUGUGAAAACUCUGGGCUCAACCCAGAGUCGCCACCCGAUACUGCUGUGACUUGAGUGCGGUAGGGGAGCGGGGAAUUCCUGGUGUAGCGGUGUAAUGCGCAGAUAUCAGGAGGAACACCAAUUGCGAAGGCAGCUCGCUGGGACGUUACUGACGCUGAGACGCGAAAGCGUGGGGAGCAAACAGG
rnacentral:rRNA from 1 species